CGCUGGCGGCAUGCCUUACACAUGCAAGUCGAACGGUAGAGUAGCAAUACUCGAGAGUGGCGAACGGGUGAGUAAUAUAUCGGAACGUGCCCAAUCGUGGGGGAUAACGUAGAGAAAUUUACGCUAAUACCGCAUACGAUCUAAGGAUGAAAGCAGGGGAUCGCAAGACCUCGCGCGAUUGGAGCGGCUGAUAUCAGAUUAGGUUGUUGGUGAGGUAAAAGCUCACCAAGCCGACGAUCUGUAGCUGGUUUGAGAGAACGACCAGCCACACUGGGACUGAGACACGGCCCAGACUCCUACGGGAGGCGGCAGUGGGGAAUUUUGGACAAUGGGCGAAAGCCUGAUCCAGCAAUGCCGCGUGCAGGAAGAAGGCCUUCGGGUUGUAAACUGCUUUUGUACGGAACGAAACGGCUCUUUCUAAUAAAGAGGGCUAAUGACGGUACCUGAAGAAUAAGCACCGGCU
rnacentral:rRNA from 1 species